CUCUCCACCUGGUCCUCUGUCUGGUGUUAGUGUGCUCCAUCCUGCCCCGGUAAAGGUUCUAAUUCCACCUCUCCACCUGGUCCUCUGUCUGGUGUUAGUGUGCUCCAUCCUGCCCCGGUAAAGGUUCUAAUUCCACCUCUCCACCUGGUCCUCUGUCUGGUGUUAGUGUGCUCCAUCCUGCCCCGGUAAGGGUUCUAAUUCCACCUCUCCACCUGGUCCUCUGUCUGGUGUUAGUGUGCUCCAUCCUGCCCCGGUAAGGGUUCUAAUUCCACCUCUCCACCUGGUCCUCUGUCUGGUGUUAGUGUGCUCCAUCCUGCCCCGGUAAGGGUUCUAAUUCCACCUCUCCACCUGGUCCUCUGUCUGGUGUUAGUGUGCUCCAUCCUGCCCCGGUAAGGUUCUAAUUCCACCUCUCCACCUGGUCAUCUGUCUGGUAUUAGAGAAAAGGAGAAGGGAGAGAGAAAGGAAAAGGAUAAGGAAGGGAAAACAGAAGAGGAAAGGAAGAGAAAAGAGGAAAGGAAGAUUGGAAUAAGGAAAGAAAGAGGAGGAAAAAGGAGGAGGAGGAGGAAAGAUGAGGAAAAGAAAGAAAAGGAGAAGGAGGAGGAGGAAGGAGAAGAAGAAUAUAUUUAAAAAGUUCACAUAAGAGAUUCAAUUCUAAGCUUACAAGAUAUCACAAAGCUUACCUAUCAAUUAUUUCCUUUCUAUAUUAAUCUUAUCUUUUGUUUUCCUUUCCUUUUUCUUCCUUUCUGAUAAUGUGUUUGACUGUAUAAGACUUUCCUGUUUUUGUUGAUAUUAAAAGAUAGAUAGAUAGAUAGAUAGAUAGAUAGAGAGAGAGAGAGAGAGAGAGAGAGAGAGAGAGAGAGAGA